rnacentral:rRNA from 1 species
CGUACAGGUCUCCGUAGGUGAACCUGCGGAGGGAUCAUUACAAGAACGCCCGGGCUUCGGCCUGGUUAUUCAUAAACCUUUGUUGUCCGACUCUGUUGCCUCCGGGGCGACCCUGCCUUCGGGCGGGGGCUCCGGGUGGACACUUCAAACUCUUGCGUAACUUUGCAGUCUGAGUAAACUUAAUUAAUAAAUUAAAACUUUUAACAACGGAUCUCUUGGUUCUGGCAUCGAUGAAGAACGCAGCGAAAUGCGAUAAGUAAUGUGAAUUGCAGAAUUCAGUGAAUCAUCGAAUCUUUGAACGCACAUUGCGCCCCCUGGUAUUCCGGGGGGCAUGCCUGUUCGAGCGUCAUUUCACCACUCAAGCCUCGCUUGGUAUUGGGCAACGCGGUCCGCCGCGUGCCUCAAAUCGUCCGGCUGGGUCUUCUGUCCCCUAAGCGUUGUGGAAACUAUUCGCUAAAGGGUGUUCGGGAGGCUACGCCGUAAAACAACCCCAUUUCUAAGGUUGACCUCGGAUCAGGUAGGGAUACCCGCUGAACUUAAGCAUAUCA